CGAGUGCUGGGAUUAAAGGUGUGCGCCGCCAACGCCCGGCUAGAGAACUGUUUUUGAGAUAGGGUGGUGUCACGAUUGUGACAAAGGAAAUGGCCCUCGUUCAGUAAGCGGGAAUGCCCGAGACGUUAUCUUUCAGUUUUGCAGAAAGCUGGGUGUCACCCUGACACAAGGCGAAAUGGUUGCUGUGGCCUACUCGACAUUUUGUUUCUCGGUUCUUGUUGGUUUUAAUUCCCUAGUUGCACGUCUCUCCCCCCUUUGGUUUUCAGCGGCUGAAUCCUUUAGGGACAUAAAAGUCUUCCCCAAUUCUAAUACUGCCCCCUCCCCAGAUGCCUCAAGCUUCUGUUUCAAGACACAAAACAUCCAGAGAACGUCCUGGUGCCCAUCAUUGCCUCUUGUGAUUUGUGAGCCCAUUCAGGUGACCGACUGUAACUUUUCAACCCCAGGAUCACCCGAAAGGGCCUAGACGCGCAGCCAGCUGCCAGAUCUCCUUUAAGAUUUGUUGAGCUAGAGGGGCUGCAGAGAGCGAGCCGUAGGAGGUGAAAAGCACUGGCUGCAGAGGACCCAAGUUCUCAGUUCCCGUCACCCACAUGACAGCUUGCAGCCCCCUGACUCCAGUGCCAGAGCAUCUGAUAAUCUCUUCUGGUCUCCGAGGGCACCAUGAACACAUAUGCACAAAUACAUGGAGCCAAUUCGGGGACUGAGGCAAGAUGAACAAAAAUCCAGAGUGCUCUGGCAUCUUCCUAAGUUAAAGGACAGCCUGGACCCUGGCUGUGCAUGUGUUGAGGUGGGCAAAGUGGCUGAGUGGUAAAGGGCUUGCUGUGCAAGCCUAACAACCUGAGUUCAAUGCCUAGAACCAACAGUGUAAGAAGGUUCAACUCCGAAAUGUUGGCCAUUGACUCCACAGGUGCCCACAUCCACACACACAGACAUAAAUACAACUGAAGCUCCAUGGUAGUGUUGCAAGCCUUUAACCCCAGCAUUUAGGAGGCAAAGGUAGGUGGAACUCUGUGAGUUCAGGGCCAGCCUGGUCUACAGAUGGCUACUCAAAGAAACCCUGUCUAGAAAACCAAAAAAUGGGGAAAAAAUUAAAAAGAGAGAGAUAGCCAGGGGAUGGUGGUGCACACCUUUGGUUCCAGGCAAAGUUUGAAGUCAGCCUGGUCUACAGAGUGAGGUAAGGGCUACACAGAGAAACCCCAUUUCAAAAACAAGAAAGAAAGAAGGAAAGGAAGGAAGAAAGAAAGAAAAGAGUUGGGACCCUGAUGGGUGACCUAUAGUGCCCUUGGUGUUAUCUGUCCUGCCUGGUUAGGCGUUCACUUCCCUUCUUCCACCUAGGCCUGUAUGAAAGUAUGCAAAUUAUACAC
rnacentral:lncRNA from 1 species